rnacentral:lncRNA from 1 species
CACUGUCAACUAGGCAGUCUGCUGUUGACCAACAUGUCCUUCUGAGAGUAUACAUCAUCUACACUGGGAGGCCGAGGCGGGCGGAUCACGAGGUCAGGAGAUUGAGACCUUCCUGGCUAACACAGUGAAACCCCGUCUCUACUAAAAAUACAAAAAGAAAUUAACCGGCGUGGUGGUGGGCACCUGUAGUCCCAGCUGCUCGGGAGGCUGAGGCAGGAGAAUGGCAUGAACCCAGGAGGCGGAGCUUGCAGUGAGCCGAGAUAGCGCCACUGCACUCCAGCCUGGGCGAUAGAGCAAGACUCAGUCUCAAAAAAACAAACAAACAAACAAAAAAACAAACAAAAGAGUAUACAUAAUCUAGUUCAAUCUUCUUUUAAUACUAAUUGUAUUUAAACCUCUUAAGUGUAAUUAGCAGGA